ensembl:ncRNA Y71A12B.33 ncRNA
CUCCGAGAGACGUGCUUCGGCACGUCUCUCGGAGAGCCAAGACGAAUCCAAGUCAACAACCAAACCAAAUGUCAA